UCCCUGACUCUGCUCCGCAAUGGCGGCCGGUGGCCGGGCCCCGCUCCCCGGCCUGAGCCCCGUGAGGGGACAGAGUGCUGGCACAGCCGCCUCGGCCCGGGCCACCCUGUCCCUGCCCGGGCCCGCGUCCCCCGGAGCGCGCCCUGCAGCGCAGAACGCGGCCUCGGAGCCAGGAGCGGGGCCAAUGCCCUCGGCUCGGCAGCGGCGGCGGGAGGCGGCGGGCGGUGCCCUCAGGGCAGGAAAAAUCAUCAAACUCCUCCCAUCUUUGCCAAAAACUUUGGUGUUUGGGCAGCCAAAGGCAAGAGGCUUCAGCGCCAGGGCUCUGCACUGGAGGGCUCUGCUCCUGCCCACGCUGUGGGUGAGCCAGGGCUGGCACAGGGAAUGGUGCAGGUGCUGGUCUGGCAGUGGAGCUGCUGCCCUUUGGAGCCAUUUUAAAGGCUGUCCUUGCUGGAGCACCCUGGUCCCUGCCAUCCCCUGGGACACAGAGGGAGCCCUGUCCCAAGUGGCCUUGGCACCUUGGCAGGGAUGUGGCAGCAGCCCCAGAGCAGCUGGAGGAGAAAACCUCCCAGCAGAGACAGAUGGCAGUGGAGGCCAGAGCUGUGUUUGGAGCAGGGAGUGCUGAGAGCUGAAUCUGCCUGUGCUGCCACAGCCUGAGCACAGCCUGGGAACAGCCUGGGAAAGGGAUUGGGGCAAUUUCUGAUGCCCCAGUGAGAAGAACACAAACUCAGCCAUUCAGCCUGACAGGCCCCUCCACCAGAGCUCAGCACACAUCCUCAGAGGGAAGUCCAGCAUCCAAAGGGAAAAAAAGCACAGAAGAAAAAGCAGCCAGCAGGGAAGGGACAAGAGGAUCCCUGUGGGAUGAGGCUGGAGAGAGCGAGCAGAGGAGCAGCCUCGGGCUGGAGAAGGGCAAAGGGACCAACGUGGUGUCACCAGGGCACCUGUGAGGAGCAGAAUGGACACUUGGAGGCCACAUGGAGGUGAGGAGUGGAUGGUUUGGGGCAAAGUCUGAGUUCAUCUACAGGGAAAUAAGUAGGGGAUAUUUAGGAGGGAAAAGCUGAGGUGAGGAGCUCACCCACCCUGGCACAAGGUGUGUUUGCACAGGCUGGAGCCAGAGGUGAAGGUCAAUCCAAAGCCAGCCCUGCUCAACCUCUAAAUCCCAGGAUAAGUUGUACAGGCUGCCCACUGAGGGAUUAAAAACACGAAAAUGAAACCAAGAGCAUUAAUGAGGUUCCUGGGAAUCCCAUUAACUUGUUGUCAGAACUCCUAAUACAGUUUUGAGCUUUGAUGACAAGAAUGCAUUUCUUUAUUUGGAUUAUGACUGUGUGGGAUGUGGGGUUUAUUUGGAUUUUAAAGCUCUCAUGGUGGCCCUGACACUGCUCAGGAGCUGGUAGGGAAAGCAGAGUCAGAGCUCCUGGCAGGCACAGGGUGUUUUCCCCAUAGUGGAUUGUGGAGGAAUUGUCUGGGACCUGGAUUGUCCCUCUGGGUGAUGCCACUUGCUGUGAUUUGUAUAAUUUCAUACAUUUAAUUCCCAAAACUUCCCAGCCCAGGGGUUUGAGCUGACAGGGCUGGACAAAGAUUGUUCUCUGUGUGGGGCCCAGAUUUGGGGUUCCCUGUCAGCUGUGCUAGUUGUGAUGAAUUAUACCCAGAGCCCCAGAUUCCCUGCUCCAUUCCUGCUGCAGUAACCUCCCAGUGCCCCAUGGAGUGUGGGCAUUCCCAUGCAGAGCUGCUGCCUUGGACAGCAGCUGUGCCAGGAGCCAGCAGAGCUCCCAAGGAAGCUCAGCAGCACAGGGACAAGGACAGAGCUAUAUUCCAUAGAACUGGCUGUUUCUAACCCUCACCCCAAUGGUGUCCCUGGGGUCACUGGACAGAGCUGCCUGGAAUUGAGCUGGUUUCACCCCCUGAGCUCCAGGAUGGAGAACAUCCAGUUGGUGUUUAAAGCAGGAGAAGGCAGUGGCAGAUGUGCUCCCAGCCUGUGCUGGGGCAGCCCCUGUGCCCAGGGGGGGACAUCUCUCCCUGCUGAAGCUCAGCUCCUCUCAGAGCCUCAGCAGUGGCCUCUCCAAAUUCUUUUCCCUCAGGAAAGGGAUGCACAUCUCUGUCUUCAGCACAUCUCCAGUGGGAGAUGUGAAAGCUUUCCACCACUUGUGCACUUGCAGCUGGAUCCCUGGAAAACACUAAAUUCCAUCCCACUGAUUUUCAGGUAUCUCUGAGGGCUCCUGCCUGGGAUUUAAUAUCUGUGGGGGAAGACUGCCUUGGCUUCAGUGCUGCUGAUGGAUGGUGGCCUCUGGCUGGGCAGCAGGGAAGGGAUUUGGGGUGGCUGGGACAGAGCUGGCAGCUGUGUGGGAGCUCUGAACCGGGAAUUGCUGCGUGAGCCCCUCUGCAAACGGGCCGUGCCUCCAUUCCCAGGUAAUGCCAGCUGCUCCUUGGGCUCCUCCUGGGCUCUUGGUGCUCUGUGUGGGCUGGAGCAUUUCCACGUGCCUGCUCAGAGCAGCCCCUGGCCCAGGAGCCACGGUGCAGGCACAGCUCCUCCUGCAGAUCCCACAGACACGAGGGGCUGCUUGCCUUCAGGAGCUUCUGGCUCCUCCUGCCCUGCGCUCCCAGCCAGCUGGGACACCCUGAGGGAACACCAAGGAGCACGGCUGGCAGCGAGCAGGAGACACCGAGGCCUCUGGGCCCAGAAACAGCCCCGGCCUCAGCAGCCACCAUGGCUUUGGCCUGGCAGCGCUCACCUGCAGGAAACGCCCCUGCCACUCUCCAGAGGAACCCUCAGGAAUUGUCUGGUUCCCUUCUUCCUGGGGAAACAAAGGGACAUUGUGUGAGCACAUUUACAGCUGCUGGGUAAAUCCUGGGAAGGGCAGAAAAAUCAGGGUUAUGGGGAAGAGUUUGGUGCUGACAUGUUGAGUGCCAGCCAGUUCUUCCCUACAGCCAUUGCAGGGGCUGGUGUGUAAAGCAGCAUUAGCAGAAGGGAAGGAGCUGCAUUUGCAGAGGAAGUCUCUUACUGGCAGCAGUCAUUCCCAUCCCAUGCAGGACCUUUGGAACAGCCCUGGGAUUGGCUCAGGUGUUUGGAGCAGGGUGCUGAGAGGACCAAAAUUCUGUGUUUGAUGUGCAGCUGGGCCGGUCACUUCUCAGCAUUUGAUUUGGUGAUCCUCACGGCUCUGGAAAUAAAGAACAAACAGUUGUCA